rnacentral:rRNA from 1 species
CCUGAUAUUGAAUUUUGGUACAGUUUGUACAGGAUAGGCGGGAGCCUUUGAAACCGGAGCGCUAGCUUCGGUGGAGGCGCUGGUGGGAUACCGCCCUGACUGUAUUGAA